AUGAACGCUGGCGGCGCGCCUAACACAUGCAAGUCGAACGGCACCUAUCUUCGGAUAGAAGCGAGUGGCGAACGGCUGAGUAACACGUGGAGAACCUGCCCCCUCCCCCGGGAUAGCCGCCCGAAAGGACGGGUAAUACCGGAUACCCCGGGGUGCCGCAUGGCACCCCGGCUAAAGCCCCGACGGGAGGGGAUGGCUCCGCGGCCCAUCAGGUAGACGGCGGGGUGACGGCCCACCGUGCCGACAACGGGUAGCCGGGUUGAGAGACCGACCGGCCAGAUUGGGACUGAGACACGGCCCAGACUCCUACGGGAGGCAGCAGUGGGGAAUCUUGCGCAAUGGGGGGAACCCUGACGCAGCGACGCCGCGUGCGGGACGGAGGCCUUCGGGUCGUAAACCGCUUUCAGCAGGGAAGAGUCAAGACUGUACCUGCAGAAGAAGCCCCGGCUAACUACGUGCCAGCAGCCGCGGUAAUACGUAGGGGGCGAGCGUUAUCCGGAUUUACUGGGUGUAAAGGGCGCGUAGGCGGAGAGACAAGUCAGAUGUGAAAUCUAUGGGCUUAACCCAUAAACUGCAUUUGAAACUAUCUCCCUUGAGUGAUGGAGAGGCAAGCGGAAUUCCUAGUGUAGCGGUGAAAUGCGUAGAUAUUAGGAGGAACACCAGUGGCGAAGGCGGCUUUCUGGACGACAACUGACGCUGAGGCGCGAAAGUGUGGGGAGCAAACAGGAUUAGAUACCCUGGUAGUCCACACCGUAAACGAUGGAUACUAGGUGUAGGAGAUAUUAAGUCUUCUGUGCCGUCGCAAACGCAAUAAGUAUCCCACCUGGGGAGUACGGCCGCAAGGUUGAAACUCAAAGGAAUUGACGGGGGCCCGCACAAGCAGUGGAGUAUGUGGUUUAAUUCGAAGCAACGCGAAGAACCUUACCAGGGCUUGACAUAUGGGUGAAGCGGGGGAGACCCCGUGGCCGAGAGGAGCCCAUACAGGUGGUGCAUGGCUGUCGUCAGCUCGUGUCGUGAGAUGUUGGGUUAAGUCCCGCAACGAGCGCAACCCCCGCCGCGUGUUGCCAUCGGGUGAUGCCGGGAACCCACGCGGGACCGCCGCCGUCAAGGCGGAGGAGGGCGGGGACGACGUCAAGUCAUCAUGCCCCUUAUGCCCUGGGCUGCACACGUGCUACAAUGGCCGGUACAGAGGGAUGCCACCCCGCGAGGGGGAGCGGAUCCCGGAAAGCCGGCCCCAGUUCGGAUUGGGGGCUGCAACCCGCCCCCAUGAAGUCGGAGUUGCUAGUAAUCGCGGAUCAGCAUGCCGCGGUGAAUGCGUUCCCGGGCCUUGUACACACCGCCCGUCACACCACCCGAGUCGUCUGCACCCGAAGUCGCCGGCCCAACCGUCAAGGGGGGAGGCGCCGAAGGUGUGGAGGGUGAGGGGGGUG
rnacentral:rRNA from 1 species